rnacentral:tRNA from 1 species
CGUUAGCUCAGUCGGUAGAGCAUUUGACUUUUAAUCAAAGGGUCCUGAGUUCGAAUCUCAG